GUGUGUGUGUGUGUGUGGCGUUCAAGGCUCUCUUCUCCACCUUAUCAUGCUCCCCACAUAGUUGGGCUCGCGGGGCUCUCACUGCCCCCGCACCCCCGGGCCUCGGCCCUUUCUCCACAGCAUCCUGCCUCAAAACACUGGCUCGCUGCUUAUUGGCUGCAAGUCGUGCACGUGGGGAGGCCCAGGCCGCCCGAGCAGGGACCUGAGGCCGAGAAGAUGAGUCCGAGUCCAGCCCCAGACACUUCCUGGCCCUGCGACUCUGGACAAUUCCCCGACAUUCUGCCCGCCUCGGUUUCCUUCCCUGGUAAAAUGGGGAUGAUAGUAAUAGAGAAGCAUGAUGUCUUCCCACCUCCUGACGGGCGAUGGAGGAAGCCGUGGGGGUCCACGCUCUCUUUUCUAGAUGCUUCCCAUUGCUUCCCCUCCAUCCUUCAGCUGGAGGCAUUAUUUUAGGCAGCAAACAUGAGAAUGGGCUUUGCUGGGUUUUGCAUAAUGGCCCCGAGUCUCUCCUUCCCCCCUCCCACCUUACAAUUAGGGGAGAGAGUGAGAAUAAGAGUAGAUUUGGGGUUGUUAUCAUUUUAAUUGAGUAAAUAAGCCUCACCUCCCCCAAGCAGCCAGGGCUGGCCCUUAAUACUUUUAUUAAAAGUGGAGCCUUGGGAAGAGUCACUGAGAGUCCCAGAUUUCACUCGGCGCAAAGGCUUUUGUGGGACCCCUGGCCCAGCCUGCCCCGGGUAGUCCCCGCCUGCCGCCAGCCCCGGCCCCCGGACGCCUCCUAGAACUCGUCGUGGGCAAGAGGAAGCCCACGGUUGUGUCUUGUCUGACUCGGCACAUUUUGGUUUGGGGUUUUGGGUCCCCCCCAGAGAGAUGGAAGAGAGAUUUCUGUCCUUUAAAAAAUGGAUUAUAUUAAAGAGCCCCCAGCCAGCGAUCUGCACGGGCUCCUGCUAAGCCACCGACACUUUGCUAAAUGAGAGGAAGGGCCGCUGGAGAGGGGGCGGGACACCCUGUGGGGGCAGUUGUCGGGCGGGGAGCUCAUUCCUCCACGGGACCCAAGAGAUCAUCCGGUCAGGCGCCCCCUUUGCAGGAGACUGAGAGCCAGGACCCAAGACCUGGUCCGGGGCUCUGUGUCUCCACCCGGGAAGUAGCCACAUCGAGGCCCAGGGCCGGAGGAGCUUAUUCUGCCCCCUCCCACAGCUCCCAGUCUCUCCUCUCUCUCCUCUGAUAUUCGAACUCAGUACAAGAGUUUCUGCGCCUCAGAAAUAAGAACCCCCUUUAGAGCUUACAGCUCUUUGCCACGGGGUCCACUCUUUUCUAGAUGUUCCCCGUUGCUCCCGCUCUAUUUGCUGUUCCCCACACAGACGGCAGAGCAUCCUCCCUCCGUGCCUUUGAGCGGCCUGUCUGCCAUGUCUAGUUAUCUCAUUUAAUCCUCAAAACAACCCUGGAAGGUCCAUCUUGUUUCUCUUAUAGACCGUAAUCUCCCUGAAGAUGGAAGUUUUCAUGUUUUUUGGUUUUCUGUCUUUGCACGGCACAUAGUAAGCGCUUAAUAAAUGCUUGUUGGAUCAAAUGUGGGCUCCGGUGUCAUCCUGGGCAAUCCCUUCCCUGCCCCGAGGCCCCGGUGAGCGCCCCUGGGAGAACCCUGGGUCUCACUGACACAAAGAAGCUGGGUUCAAAUCCCGCCUGGGCCAGCUGGGGCCUCAGUUUCCAAAUCUAUCAAAUGAGGGGGUGACUUAGAUGCCUCGGGGGCUUGUAAGGCAGCUGGGAAAUAGAAACCUCAGUGAAGGAUCUGCUCCCAUUACAUCUCUCUUCCCUGGAUGCCGCUGGGGACGUCGUGGCCGGGGCGGGAGGCCCGGCCCAGCCCUGAGACCACAGCCUCGGGGCCCUGCGGGCACAAGCCUCAGUCUCCUGGGAAAGGCCCAGCUCCAGCCCCUCCCCAGAGGCCAUCGGAGGCUCGAUCCCCGCCGUCGGGUGGUCCCGAGUUAGUGCUGAUGGCGCCAAACACCACCCAGUGCUCCGGGCAGGGACCCCCAGACAUCGCCCUCGCUGCUGCCCUCGCUCCGAGCCGGGGGCGCAGGGAUGCCCCGGCCUCUCCCUCCCCAGCCGUGCCCCCGGAGGCAGGGAGACCCGAACUCAAAUCCUGCCUCGGACACUUAAUGCUCCUGGCCAAACCCCCCAAGUCACCUUCAGAAUGGAGAGAACGGGAGCCCCUGUGACAGGACUGGAGCAAAUGAGCCAUGUGAGGGGAGCAAAUGUCAGCUGCUGGAGCACGUUGUCCUUCCACAGCUUUCUUCUGGUAGAAUGUGAGCUCCUCGAGGGCAGCAGCUGUCUCACUGCGGUCUGAAUACCCGAUGCCCAGCAUGCAGUAGGUGUUUAAUAAAUGCUUCUUUAUCGA